UUCGGGCUGUCCAUCAGUGCAAAAAACUGGUGAAGAAAGAGCCGGGCAAGACCGGUGCCAGCCGCCGCGGUAAUACCGGCGGCUCGAGUGGUGGCCACUUUUAUUGGGCUUAAAGCGUCCGUAGCUUGGUUGUUAAGUCUUCUGGGAAAUCCAUCGGCUUAACCGAUGGGAGUUCAGGAGAUACUGGCAACCUAGGGACCGGGAGAGGUGAGAGGUACUCCAGGGGUAGGAGUGAAAUCCUGUAAUCCUUGGGGGACCACCUGUGGCGAAGGCGUCUCACUAGAACGGCUCCGACAGUGAGGGACGAAAGCUGGGGGAGCAAACCGGAUUAGAUACCCGGGUAGUCCCAGCUGUAAACGAUGCGCGUUAGGUGCAUCGGUGACCACGAGUCACCGAGGUGCCGAAGGGAAACCGUGAAACGUGCCGCCUGGGAAGUACGGUCGCAAGGCUGAAACUUAAAGGAAUUGGCGGGGGAGCAC
rnacentral:rRNA from 1 species